rnacentral:rRNA from 1 species
UACGGGGGGGCAAGCGUUGUUCGGAAUUACUGGGCGUAAAGGGCUCGUAGGUGGCCAACUAAGUCAGACGUGAAAUCCCUCGGCUUAACCGGGGAACUGCAUCUGAUACUGGAUGGCUUGAGUUUGGGAGAGGGACGCGGAAUUCCAGGUGUAGCGGUGAAAUGCGUAGAUAUCUGGAGGAACACCGGUGGCGAAGGCGGCGUCCUGGACCAACACUGACGCUGAGGAGCGAAAGCCAGGGGAGCAAACGGG